UAACGGCUCACCAAGGCGACGAUCAGUAGCUGGUCUGAGAGGAUGAUCAGCCUCACUGGGACUGAGACACGGCCCAUACUCCUACGGGAGGCAGCAGUGGGGAAUAUUGGACAAUGGGCGCAAGCCUGAUCCAGCCAUGCCGCGUGGGUGAUGAAGGCCCUAGGGUUGUAAAGCCCUUUCGGCGGAGAAGAUAAUGACGGCACCCGCAGAAGAAGCCCCGGCUAACUUCCUGCCAGCAGCCGCGGUAAUACGAAGGGGGCUAGCGUUGCUCGGAAUCACUGGGCGUAAAGCGCACGUCGGCGGCUUUUUAGUCAGGGGUGAAAUCCUGGAGCUCAACUCCAGAACUGCCUUUGAUACUGGCGACCUUGACUCCAGGAGAGGUGAGUGGAACUGCGAGUGUAGAGGUGAAAUU
rnacentral:rRNA from 1 species